rnacentral:rRNA from 1 species
CUCCAUGAAGUCGGAAUCGCUAGUAAUCGUGGAUCAGAAUGCCACGGUGAAUACGUUCCCGGGCCUUGUACACACCGCCCGUCACACCAUGGGAGUGGGUUGCAAAAGAAGUAGGUAGCUUAACCUUAGGGAGGGCGCUUACCACUUUGUGAUUCAUGACUGGGGUGAAGUCGUAACAAGGUAACCGUAGGGGAACCUGCGGUUGGAUCACCUCCUUA